UUGAACGCUGGCGGCAUGCCUUACACAUGCAAGUCGAACGGCAGCACGGGUGCUUGCACCUGGUGGCGAGUGGCGAACGGGUGAGUAAUACAUCGGAACAUGUCCUGUAGUGGGGGAUAGCCCGGCGAAAGCCGGAUUAAUACCGCAUACGAUCUACGGAUGAAAGCGGGGGACCUUCGGGCCUCGCGCUAUAGGGUUGGCCGAUGGCUGAUUAGCUAGUUGGUGGGGUAAAGGCCUACCAAGGCGACGAUCAGUAGCUGGUCUGAGAGGACGACCAGCCACACUGGGACUGAGACACGGCCCAGACUCCUACGGGAGGCAGCAGUGGGGAAUUUUGGACAAUGGGCGAAAGCCUGAUCCAGCAAUGCCGCGUGUGUGAAGAAGGCCUUCGGGUUGUAAAGCACUUUUGUCCGGAAAGAAAUCCUUGGCUCUAAUACAGUCGGGGGAUGACGGUACCGGAAGAAUAAGCACCGGCUAACUACGUGCCAGCAGCCGCGGUAAUACGUAGGGUGCGAGCGUUAAUCGGAAUUACUGGGCGUAAAGCGUGCGCAGGCGGUUUGCUAAGACCGAUGUGAAAUCCCCGGGCUCAACCUGGGAACUGCAUUGGUGACUGGCAGGCUAGAGUAUGGCAGAGGGGGGUAGAAUUCCACGUGUAGCAGUGAAAUGCGUAGAGAUGUGGAGGAAUACCGAUGGCGAAGGCAGCCCCCUGGGCCAAUACUGACGCUCAUGCACGAAAGCGUGGGGAGCAAACAGGAUUAGAUACCCUGGUAGUCCACGCCCUAAACGAUGUCAACUAGUUGUUGGGGAUUCAUUUCCUUAGUAACGUAGCUAACGCGUGAAGUUGACCGCCUGGGGAGUACGGUCGCAAGAUUAAAACUCAAAGGAAUUGACGGGGACCCGCACAAGCGGUGGAUGAUGUGGAUUAAUUCGAUGCAACGCGAAAAACCUUACCUACCCUUGACAUGGUCGGAAUCCCGCUGAGAGGUGGGAGUGCUCGAAAGAGAACCGGCGCACAGGUGCUGCAUGGCUGUCGUCAGCUCGUGUCGUGAGAUGUUGGGUUAAGUCCCGCAACGAGCGCAACCCUUGUCCUUAGUUGCUACGCAAGAGCACUCUAAGGAGACUGCCGGUGACAAACCGGAGGAAGGUGGGGAUGACGUCAAGUCCUCAUGGCCCUUAUGGGUAGGGCUUCACACGUCAUACAAUGGUCGGAACAGAGGGUUGCCAACCCGCGAGGGGGAGCUAAUCCCAGAAAACCGAUCGUAGUCCGGAUUGCACUCUGCAACUCGAGUGCAUGAAGCUGGAAUCGCUAGUAAUCGCGGAUCACGCAUGCCGCGGUGAAUACGUUCCCGGGUCUUGUACUCACCG
rnacentral:rRNA from 1 species